ensembl:piRNA 21ur-2332 ncRNA
UGUUGAAAGAAUUCAUGACUG